GAAAGAAAGAAAGAAAGAAAGAAAGAAAGAAAGAAAGAAAGAAAGAGAAAACAGAAACAUUCAAACUGAGAUAAAAAAGAAUCCAAGGAUGAUCCAAGUGGCAGAUGGCUGAAAGAAUUCUCAGUCAGACUCCUGGAGAUUGUCUGCAAACCACACAGGCCCCUUUCCAUGUUAAACUCUUCCAUGGAGAGGGCAUGGAGGGUUAACAAUCUCAAAGCCUGGCCAUGAGCUGCAGAAAAGCUGGUUGGUCUUAGAGAUGCCUGCUUUAGCCCACCUGGAGAAAUAAAGCUACCUAUUGGCUUUUGCUUUGAAUGCCUAAGAGGGAAGCCUCCAGCCAGCAGAAGGGCUGUGUCACCCUGCUUCCUCAACAAAAGCUAACAGCUAACGUCUCAGCCUGAAGCACACACAGUGGAUCUACAGACCUCCUCCCUGGUAGUGAGUGUGUGUACUGUGGAAACUCUUGUGCCCAGACAAGACAAGGCUGGAGGAUUGGCUGUUGUAAUAAAUGGGUGCCGUCUUUAGGCCCUGAAUCCUGGGACUACAGUAAUUGCUUUUUCCAGCUGUUAACACAGCUUCAGGAAAAUGACGGUCAAAUGACACUGAAAGAGACAGAAUUGUCUGCUAGAGAGCUGGAUCAAAGGACAUGAAGUAAGUUGCCUUCUCAUGGAUUCUGAGAGUAAUUAAUUCCCCUCAUCAUCCGGACAGUGGGAGAGGGAUCAGAUCUUGGGCUUGGAAUGUGGUGUGAUGCUGUUCUGUGCCCACAUCCCCUCAAUACCUGAGAAUGUUUUUCACUGUGGUCCAAAGACCUUGGAGAGCAUCUUAGAAGCCAGAGCACCCACCUUGCCUAGAGGGACCUGGGCAGCGUGGUACUGAUGCUGUGAACUGAAGAUGUUUUUCUUAAGACCCCUGGUCAUGG
rnacentral:lncRNA from 1 species